UAAUAAUAAUAAUAAGGUUUUAAGAAGAAAAAUGAGGAUGAUAGUAAUAUAUAUCUUAGCAUUUCUUGUUAUACAAGAAGUGGCUAUUUUUCAAAAUAGCUUUACAGAAAUAGCCACUUUAGGUGUAGGAAUGUGGCCAAUGGCUGUUUCUGCACUGAGGCCUGCUUCGCCGCCUCCACCACCACCGGAGGCCGCGGAUAAGUCAGGCCAUAGAUCAUCUCCUACACCAAGUGAAACUUUGUUGGUGUAAGUGAUGUAUAUAUAUGUGUGUGUGUGUGUUAGUUUUCACUAUUUCAAUUAUAGCAUUCUUUGUGACUUGUUAGCGUAUAUUGUUGUAUUUGUUCAAUAAUUGAAGAAAUAAAAAUUUGUAUAGUAGACCUCAGUGUGUUUGUGAUUGAGGCGUAGUUAUUGUAUUUAGUUUGUUGCUCCAUUGAAUGGUAUAUGAUAUUCAUGU